UUCGCUUUCUAAAGCGCUUUGCCAGAUAUACAGGGAAAGCAGAUAUCAAGGUAUUGUAUAAUAGGAAUAAAUAUCAAGAUGGGUCACUGUAAUAGAAUCUUGGCAGUAUUAUUUGCUGUUUUCUUCAGCAUUGAUGCCAACAUCCGAGAACUACGAGAUCAAGUCCACCCAGGUUUUGCUUUUGAGAUAGGGUCAGAAGAUUACCCUGAAUUUCGUGACGGACUAUUAUACGAGAGGCCGCCAGGAUUAUCUAUUGGAAGGAAGGCAAACUUAUUGUCAGCAAAUGGUAACAGUUUAUUAGAAGAAUCAGACGAAGGGAGUAGCAAAUUCGAUCAACACAAGCGGGCCCCUCAGCCCCUAGUAGACUCUUCUGUAUUUAAGAAGUGGCCUGAAAUGCUGAAUGUAGGAUCACCAAAGUUAUUCAUUCGACCAAGUCUUCGAAACAACGGACAGAGAGGACGACAGAAUUUCGUAAGGGACUUUUUGGGCGGGAAAUUUCAUUUCUCACCUGCUAAGAAGAGACCCGCUGCAUAUUAUUCUGAACCUGAGGGAUCCGAAUUUCUCGGAGGACCAGGAAAAUAAUUUUUUUCAUUAAAAAUGAAAGAAACACAGUCUGAGAGUCUAACAUUGAGGAUUACAUUAAACUGUUGUUGUCAAUGUUGUUCAUGAUUGUUUUUUGUGAUUUAGAACCUAACUUUUGGUUUACCAGAAGGAAAAGUCACAUAAUUCCUUUGAACCUUACUUGCAGCUCAGUCUCGUAAGUAGACUGGCAACGUAUGUUCUGUAAUGUUAAUUUAUUCAGAAAUAUUUCAAACUCAAUUCGUGGAUAUUUACGUACUAUCACACAUUUUACAACUCUUGUCAGAUUCUCAGUGGCAGUUUCGUAUUUUAAAGCAAAGAAUGUGGGGUUAAUGGACUUUUUUCAGCAAACAGAGCUAUAAGUAUGUACGAAUGAUGAUACAAAUUAUCGGAAAAAUAAAGAUUUUUUUAA